AGAUUGAACGCUGGCGGUAUGCUUAACACAUGCAAGUCGAACGGCAGCACAGGGUAGCUUGCUAUCCGGGUGGCGAGUGGCGGACGGGUGAGUAACGCGUAGGAAUCUACCUUUUUGUGGGGGAUAACCCGGGGAAACUCGGGCUAAUACCGCAUACGCCCUACGGGGGAAAGCGGGGGACCUUUGGGCCUCGCGCAAAAAGAUGAGCCUGCGUCCUAUCAGGUAGUUGGUGAGGUAAUGGCUCACCAAGCCGACGACGGGUAGCUGGUCUGAGAGGACGACCAGCCACACUGGGACUGAGACACGGCCCAGACUCCUACGGGAGGCAGCAGUGGGAAUAUGGACAAUGGGGGCAACCGUGAUCCAGCAAUACCGCGUGUGUGAAGAAGGCCUUGGUGUAAAGCACUUUAGACAGGAAAGAAUGACUGUGCGUUAAUACCGUCGUCGGUUUUGUACGUUACUUGACAAG
rnacentral:rRNA from 1 species